rnacentral:rRNA from 1 species
UAUUAUUUUAGCGGCGGACGGGUGAGUAACGUGUGGGCAACCUACCUUUUACUGUGGAAUAAUCGUUGGAAACGACGACUAAUACCGCAUACGGUUCUUGGAAGGCAUCUUCUAAGAAAGAAAGGAUUUAUUCGGUAAAAGAUGGGCCCGCAUCUGAUUAGCUAGUUGGUGAGAUAAUAGCCCACCAAGGCAACGAUCAGUAGCCGACCUGAGAGGGUGACCGGCCACAUUGGGACUGAGACACGGCCCAAACUCCUACGGGAGGCAGCAG